UACGAAGGGGGCUAGCGUUGCUCGGAUUGACUGGGCGUAAAGGGCGCGUAGGCGGUUCGUACAGUCAGACGUGAAAUUCCUGGGCUCAACCUGGGGGCUGCGUUUGAUACGUGCGGACUUGAGUGCGGAAGAGGGUCGUGGAAUUCCCAGUGUAGAGGUGAAAUUCGUAGAUAUUGGGAAGAACACCGGUGGCGAAGGCGGCGACCUGGUCCGAUACUGACGGCUGAGGCGCGAAAGCGUGGGGAGCAAACAGG
rnacentral:rRNA from 1 species